GAUGAACGCUAGCGGCAGGCUUAAUACAUGCAAGUCGAGGGGCAGCACGGGUAGCGAUACCUGGUGGCGACCGGCAAACGGGUGCGGAACACGUACGCAACCUUCCCAUAACUGGUGAAUAGCCUUCCGAAAGGGAGAUUAAUACACCGUAACAUAACGAAAAGGCAUCUUUUGUUAUUAUAGGCUUCGGCCGGUUUUGGAUGGGCGUGCGCCUGAUUAGGUAGUUGGCGGGGUAACGGCCCACCAAGCCUGCGAUCAGUAACUGGUGUGAGAGCACGACCAGUCACACGGGCACUGAGACACGGGCCCGACUCCUACGGGAGCAGCAGUAAGGAAUAUUGGUCAAUGGACGAAAGUCUGAACCAGCCAUGCCGCGUGAAGGAUUAAGGCCCUCUGGGUUGUAAACUUCUUUUAUCUGGGACGAAAAAGGGCUUUCUAGCUCACUUGACGGUACCAGAGGAAUAAGCACCGGCUAACUCCGUGCCAGCAGCCGCGGUAAU
rnacentral:rRNA from 1 species